UGGGGAAUAUUGGACAAUGGGGGCAACCCUGAUCCAGCCAUGCCGCGUGAAUGAUGAAGGCCUUAGGGUUGUAAAGUUCUUUCGCACACGACGAUGAUGACGGUAGUGUGAGAAGAAGCCCCGGCUAACUUCGUGCCAGCAGCCGCGGUAAUACGAAGGGGGCUAGCGUUGUUCGGAAUUACUGGGCGUAAAGCGCACGCAGGCGGUCUAGAUAGUCAGAAGUGAAAGCCCCGGGCUCAACCUGGGAAUUGCUUUUGAUACUGCUAGGCUUGAAUCAUGGAGAGGGUAACGGAAUUCCGAGUGUAGAGGUGAAAUUCGUAGAUAUUCGGAAGAACACCAGCGGCGAAGGCGGUUACCUGGCCAUGUAUUGACGCUCAUGUGCGAAAGCGUGGGGAGCAAA
rnacentral:rRNA from 1 species